UAAAGCAAGAAAGGGCGUAUGGGGAAUGCCUAGGCACACUCCGGCGAAGAAGGACGCAGCAAACAGCGAAAUGCGACGGUGAGCGGUAAGCACGUGAAGAGCCGUCGAUAUCCGAAUGGGGGAACCCACACGGAGUCAUAUCCGUGUAUCACAUGUCGAAUACAUAGACAUGAUGAGGCGAGACGCAGGGAACUGAAACAUCUAAGUACCUGCAGGAAGAGAAAAUAAGAAUGAUUUUCUGAGUAGCGGCGAGCGAAAGGGAAAGAGCCCAAACCGAUCUGAGGAUCGGGGUAGUAGGAUCAUCGAUAAAUCAAACAGAGGAUCAUAGAGGAAUCACAUGGGAAGGUGAGCGAGAGAGGGUGAGAGCCCCGUACUCGAAAUGAGAGACUGGAGAGAGAUGACACCUGAGUAGGGCGGGACACGAGAAAUCCUGUCUGAAUCAGCCGGGACCAUCCGGCAAGGCUAAAUACGAGAGAGUGACCGAUAGUGAACCAGUACCGUGAGGGAAAGGUGAAAAGAACCCCGGGAGGGGAGUGAAAGAGAACCUGAAACCAUAUGCCUACAAGAAGUCAGAGCCCGUUAAAGGGUGAUGGCGUGCCUUUUGUAGAAUGAACCGGCGAGUUACUGUAUGGAGCGAGGUUAAGCAGGAUAUGCGGAGCCGAAGCGAAAGCGAGUCUUAAGAGGGCGCGAGUUGCAUGCAGUAGACCCGAAACCGGGUGAUCUAGCCAUGACCAGGUUGAAGUUGGGGUAAAACCCGAUGGAGGACCGAACCGACCCCCGUUGAAACGUUGGCGGAUGAGUUGUGGCUAGGGGUGAAAUUCCAAUCGAACCCGGAGAUAGCUGGUUCUCCCCGAAAUAGCUUUAGGGCUAGCGUCGAGAGAAGAGUUGCGUGAAGGUAGAGCACUGAAUAUGUGAUGGCCCCAUCUCGGGGUACUGAGCAUAAUCAAACUGCGAAUGUCACGCCAACAUGCUCGGCAGUCAGACAGCGGGUGAUAAGGUCCGUUGUCAAGAGGGAAACAGCCCAGACCAUCAGCUAAGGUCCCAAAAUGUAUGCUAAGUGGAAAAGGAUGUGGAGAUGUACAGACAACUAGGAGGUUGGCUCAGAAGCAGCCAUCCUUUAAAGAGUGCGUAACAGCUCACUAGUCGAAUGACUCUGCGCCGAUAAUUUACCGGGGCUAAGCAUACUACCGAAGCUAUGGAUCCCAAGGGAUGGUAGGGGAGCGUUCCAUGAACGGAGAAGUACGACCGAAAGGACGUGUGGAGAUCAUGGAAGAGAGAAUGCCGGUGUGAGUAGCGGAACGUGGGUGAGAAUCCCACGCACCGAAAACCCAAGGUUUCCAGAGGAAGGUUCGUCCGCUCUGGGUAAGUCGGGACCUAAGGCGAGGCCGAAAGGCGUAGUCGAUGGACAACAGGUAGAGAUUCCUGUACCCGUAUAUAUGUGAAGGAAUGACGGAGAGAGGAAGCUGCAGCCAGCGGCUGGAAGAGCUGGUGCAAGCGAGAUAUCGGGAUGGCAGGCAAAUCCACCAUCCGAAACGAGAAGGCGUGAAGCGUACGGAAAGCUACGGCGAGUACGGAAGGCAGUGGAGGAACUUCCAAGAAAAGUUUCUAACGUUAAGUAUAUAUGGCCCGUACCGAAAAUGGACACACAUGGGUGAGGAGAGAAUCCUAAGGUGAGCGAGAGAACUAUAGCUAAGGAACUCUGCAAAAUGACUCCGUAACUUAGGGAGAAGGAGUGCUCAUAGAGAUAUGAGCCGCAGUGAAACGGCCCAAGCGACUGUUUACCAAAAACACAGCUCUCUGCUAAGCCGCAAGGCGAAGUAUAGGGGGUGACGCCUGCCCGGUGCUGGAAGGUUAAGGGGAGGGGUUAACGCAAGUGAAGCCCUGAACUGAAGCCCCAGUAAACGGCGGCCGUAACUAUAACGGUCCUAAGGUAGCGAAAUUCCUUGUCAGGUAAGUUCUGACCCGC
rnacentral:rRNA from 1 species